UACGGAGGGUGCAAGCGUUGUCCGGAUUUAUUGGGUUUAAAGGGUCCGCAGGCGGGCCAUUAAGUCAGUGGUGAAAUCCUACAGCUUAACUGUAGAACUGCCAUUGAUACUGAUGGUCUUGAGUAUAGACGAGGUAGGCGGAAUUUAUGAUGUAGCGGUGAAAUGCAUAGAUAUCAUAAAGAACACCAAUUGCGAAGGCAGCUUACUAGACUAUAACUGACGCUCAUGGACGAAAGCGUGGGGAGCGAACAGG
rnacentral:rRNA from 1 species